UUUUGUGUGAGGAUAAGUUGUUAUAGCUAUGUCUUAUAGAAGGUGAGUUUUUUUUUUAAUUCUUUAACUGUUUAGUUCAAAGGUCCAUUUAUUCAGGGGCGUUAUCAUUUUGAGUCAAUGGUUUGUGAUAAGUUUGUUGUUUUGUCUACGUUGAGUUGUUACUUAUUUCGAAGACCAUGUAUAAUGAUGUGUAGUGUGUAUUUGUAUGAGAGCUGGAUAAUAUUAGUUAUCUUUUGUAUUUGCAUUAUUUUUAUAUUGAGAUUUUUCUUAGUAUAAUAGAUGUUCGUUUGAAAAUAUAUUUGUUUGUUUUUGCAGACGGUGGGCCCGUGUCAGUUAUACCGAAAACUCUUCAUGUGGUGUAGUUUUUAUAUACGUAGGUUAUGCUUUGGUUUUUGUGAGAUAGAAUGAGAGAUUUUUUUUUAAAAAAAAAUUGAUAAUGAAAAUAGAAAUAC
rnacentral:lncRNA from 1 species